rnacentral:lncRNA from 1 species
GCUUUGGAUGGUGAGUUUCAUGUGUGAUGCAGUCUGAAGUAUGAAUGAGCUUACUUUUGAGUUUUUAGUCUAGAUUUUAGAAUAAUAGGUAAUUAUUUUUUUGAUAGAAAAUUUAUGUUGCUACUUCGACAUUUUAGGUUUAUGUUCAAGAAUUCUGACUUGAUCCUGUUAGAUAGUCUUUGGGAGAUUUGUUUUAGUUUUUAUGAAUAGUUUUUGAAGUUUUUUUUAAAAUACUAUUUUUUUUACUAUUCGUUUGAUGAAAUGCAGAUGAAACUUAU